UACGAAGGGGGCUAGCGUUGCUCGGAAUCACUGGGCGUAAAGGGUGCGUAGGCGGGUCUUUUAAGUCAGAGGUGAAAUCCUGGAGCUCAACUCCAGAACUGCCUUUGAUACUGAGGAUCUUGAGUUCGGGAGAGGUGAGUGGAACUGCGAGUGUAGAGGUGAAAAUUCGUAGAUAUUCGCAAGAACACCAGUGGCGAAGGCGGCUCACUGGCCCGAUACUGACGCUGAGGCACGAAAGCGUGGGGAGCAAACAGGG
rnacentral:rRNA from 1 species